GAUGAACGCUGGCGGCGUGCCUAAUACAUGCAAGUCGAGCGAACAGACGAGGAGCUUGCUCCUCUGACGUUAGCGGCGGACGGGUGAGUAACACGUGGAUAACCUACCUAUAAGACUGGGAUAACUUCGGGAAACCGGAGCUAAUACCGGAUAAUAUAUUGAACCGCAUGGUUCAAUAGUGAAAGACGGUUUUGCUGUCACUUAUAGAUGGAUCCGCGCCGCAUUAGCUAGUUGGUAAGGUAACGGCUUACCAAGGCGACGAUGCGUAGCCGACCUGAGAGGGUGAUAGGCCACACUGGAACUGAGCCACGGUCCAGACUCCUACGGGAGGCAGCAGUAGGGAAUCUUCCGCAAUGGGCGAAAGCCUGACGGAGCAACGCCGCGUGAGUGAUGAAGGUCUUCGGAUCGUAAAACUCUGUUAUUAGGGAAGAACAAAUGUGUAAGUAACUAUGCACGUCUUGACGGUACCUAAUCAGAAAGCCACGGCUAACUACGUG
rnacentral:rRNA from 1 species